rnacentral:rRNA from 1 species
AGUGAACGCUGGCGGUAGGCCUAACACAUGCAAGUCGAACGGCCGCACAGUAAGCGCUUGCUCUUACGGGUGGCGAGUGGCGGACGGGUGAGGAAUACAUCGGAAUCUACUUUUUCGUGGGGGAUAACGUAGGGAAACUUACGCUAAUACCGCAUACGACCUACGGCUGAAAUCAGGGGAUCUUCGCACCUUGCGCGACUGAAUGAGCCGAUGUCGGAUUAGCUAGUUGGCGGGGUAAAGGCCCACCAAGGCGACGAUCCGCAGCUGGUCUGAGAGGAUGAUCAGCCACACUGGAACUGAGACACGGUCCAGACUCCUACGGGAGGCAGCAGUGGGGAAUAUUGGACAAUGGGCGCAAGCCUGAUCCAGCCAUACCGCGUGGGUGAAGAAGGUCUUCGGAUUGUAAAGCCCUGUUGUUGGGAAAGAAAAGCAGCAGGUGAAUACCCCGCUGUUCUGACGGUACCCAAAGAAUAAGCACCGGCUAACUUCGUG